AUUGAGGAUCAUGACUUUAAUACGAAACUACGUAAUGCUCAUAAAUUCCUUAAAAAAGGCGAUAAGGUUAAAGUUAGCGUUCGAUUCCGUGGCCGUGCGAUUACGCAUAAAGAAUUAGGUCGUGAAGUCUUAGAGCGUUUUGCUAAAGAAUGUGAAGAGUUAGGAACAUUAGAAACGAAGCCUAAGAUGGAAGGCCGUAACAUGUUUAUGAUGCUUGCUCCAAUGGCUGAGAAGUAAGCGUAACAAUCUUUGAGGGAGGACUUUAUUAUGCCAAAAAUGAAGACGCAUAAAGGUGCACA
rnacentral:misc_RNA from 1 species